rnacentral:tRNA from 1 species
GCCUAUCUAGCUCAGUCGGUAGAGUGCAAGAUUUUUAACCUUGUGGUCUUGAGUUCAAGCCCAAUGAUGUACA